AUGGAAAAUCCCUCCUUCACUUUCAGUCACUCUGUGAAAACGAGUUCGCUGUCCCGAAAAUGGCGAAUCUGAAUCAGAAACAAACAUUGAGUCGGCCAUGGUUCCUGGAAGUGAUACCUCUCUUGGUAGUCUUGCUAAUUGCAGCUCACGUCGCCGCCUUGGUUUAUUGGAUUUACAGAGUAGCUACUGAGAAACAACCUCAAAGAAGGAAAGAGCACUAAAAUUGAAGCACUUGAUUUUGCACUUGCAGCAGACAAGGGAAUAUUCAGUUGGGCAGUAGUUUUCCUCACGCACUUUGCAAGUUUCUUGGGCAAUGUUGUUUAGAAGGGAUCCCAGUUUUCUGUUCUUCAGCUUGUAAGUUCCUUAUGUUAAAUCUUUCCAAUUUGUUCUUUUCUGUUUGAUGGGUAGACACUAGCACUAGGUCCAAAGAUAAAAUGUGUAUCUGUUGUGUGUACGUGUGGGAAAGUUAUCCUCUGUGACAAACCUUUGUAACCUUAAUUUUCUUUUGGUACCGGUGAAAGGCAUAAUUGUUGUGGCUUCAAUAACAUGCUGCAGUCUGUUGUGGGAA